rnacentral:tRNA from 1 species
CGUAGAGUAGCUUAACAAAAUAAAGCACUUGGCUUACACCCAGAAGAUUCCACAACCAAUGGACGCUUUGA